rnacentral:rRNA from 1 species
AGCAGCCGCGGUAAUUCCAGCUCCAAUAGCGUAUAUUAAAGUUGUUGCAGUUAAAAAGCUCGUAGUUGAAUUUCGGGGUUAGCAGGUCGGUCGUGCCAUCGGUAUGAACUGGUCUCGCUGAUCCCUCCCUCUUGACGAACUGUGAUGCCAUUAAUUUGGUGUCGCAGGGAAUCAGGACUGUUACUUUGAAAAAUUAGAGUGUUUAAAGCAGGCUCACGCUUGAAUACAUUAGCAUGGAAUAAUGAAAUAGGACGUUUGAUCCUAUUUUGUUGGUUUCUAGGAUUGACGUAAUGAUUAAUAGGGAUAGUUGGGGCAUUAGUAUUCAAUUGUCAGAGGUGAAAUUCUUGGAUUUAUUGAAGACUAACUACUGCGAAAGCAUUUUGCCAAGGAUAGUUUUCAUUAAUCAAGAACGAAAGUUAGGGGAUCGAAGACGAUCAGAUACCGUCGUAGUCUUAAACC